GUAAACGAUGAGUGCUAAGUGUUGGAGGGUUUCCCCUUUCAGUGCUGCAGCUAACGCAUUAAGCACUCCGCUGGGGAGUACGACCGCAAGGUUGAAACUCAAAGGAAUUGACGGGGGCCCGCACAAGCGGUGGAGCAUGUGGUUUAAUUCGAAGCAACGCGAAGAACCUUACCAGGUCUUGACAUCCUUUGACCACUCUAGAGAUAGAGCUUUCCCUUCGGGGACAAAGUGACAGGUGGUGCAUGGUUGUCGUCAGCUCGUGUCGUGAGAUGUUGGGUUAAGUCCCGCAACGAGCGCAACCCUUAUUGUUAGUUGCCAUCAUUCAGUUGGGCACUCUAGCGAGACUGCCGGUGACAAACCGGAGGAAGGUGGGGAUGACGUCAGAUCAUCAUGCCCCUUAUGACCUGGGCUACACACGUGCUACAAUGGGAAGUACAACGAGUCGCUAGGCCGCGAGGUCAUGCAAAUCUCUUAAAGCUUCUCUCAGUUCGGAUUGCAGGCUGCAACUCACCUGCAUGAAGCCGGAAUCGCUAGUAAUCGCGGAUCAGCACGCCGCGGUGAAUACGUUCCCGGGCCUUGUACACACCGCCCGUCACACCACGAAAGUUUGUAACACCCGAAGUCGGUGAGGUAACCUUUUGGAGCCAGCCGCCUAAGGUGGGAUAGAUGAUUGGGGUGAAGUCGUAACAAGGUAACCAAGGGCGAAUUCUG
rnacentral:rRNA from 1 species